rnacentral:rRNA from 1 species
GAUGAACGCUGGCGGCGUGCCUAAUACAUGCAAGUCGAGCGAACAGACGAGGAGCUUGCUCCUCUGACGUUAGCGGCGGACGGGUGAGUAACACGUGGAUAACCUACCUAUAAGACUGGGAUAACUUCGGGAAACCGGAGCUAAUACCGGAUAAUAUAUUGAACCGCAUGGUUCAAUAGUGAAAGACGGUUUUGCUGUCACUUAUAGAUGGAUCCGCGCCGCAUUAGCUAGUUGGUAAGGUAACAGCUUACCAAGGCAACGAUGCGUAGCCGACCUGAGAGGGUGAUCGGCCACACUGGAACUGAGACACGGUCCAGACUCCUACGGGAGGCAGCAGUAGGGAAUCUUCCGCAAUGGGCGAAAGCCUGACGGAGCAACGCCACGUGAGUGAUGAAGGUCUUCGGAUCGUAAAACUCUGUUAUUAGGGAAGAACAAAUGUGUAAGUAACUAUGCACGUCUUGACGGUACCUAAUCAGAAAGCCACGGCUAACUACGUG